rnacentral:rRNA from 1 species
GACGAACGCUGGCGGCGUGCUUAACACAUGCAAGUCGAACGGAAAGGCCCUGCUUUUGUGGGGUGCUCGAGUGGCGAACGGGUGAGUAACAUGUGAGUAACCUGCCCUUGACUUUGGGAUAACUUCAGGAAACUGGGGCUAAUACCGGAUAGGAGCUCCUGCUGCAUGGUGGGAGUUGGAAAGUUUCGGCGGUUGGGGAUGGACUCGCGGCUUAUCAGCUUGUUGGUGGGGUAGUGGCUUACCAAGGCUUUGACGGGUAGCCGGCCUGAGAGGGUGACCGGCCACAUUGGGACUGAGAUACGGCCCAGACUCCUACGGGAGGCAGCAGUGGGGAAUAUUGCACAAUGGGCGGAAGCCUGAUGCAGCAACGCCGCGUGCGGGAUGACGGCCUUCGGGUUGUAAACCGCUUUCGCCUGUGACGAAGCGUGAGUGACGGUAAUGGGUAAAGAAGCACCGGCUAACUACGUG